rnacentral:rRNA from 1 species
AUUGAACGCUGGCGGCAUGCCUUACACAUGCAAGUCGAACGAGUGGCGCGCGGGUGAGUAAUACAUCUGAACGUGUCCUAGAGUGAGGGAUAACUGAUCGAAAGAUCAGCUAAUACCGCAUACACUAGGAGCGGCCGACGCCGGGUUAGCUAGUGGGUGGGGGAAAGGCUCACCAAGGGGACGAUCGGUAGCUGGUGUGGGAGGACGACCAGCCACACUGGGACUGAGACACGGCCCAGACUCCUACGGGAGGCAGCAGUGGGGAAUAUUGGACAAUGGGGGCAACCCUGAUCCAGCCAUGCCGCGUGUAGGAUGAAGGUCUUCGGAUUGUAAAGUGCUUUUGUCAGGGAAGCGGUACCUGAAGAAUAAGCACCGGCUAACUCCGUGCCAGCAGCCGCGGUAAUAC